GUCUCUCGUGGCCGCGGGUCCGGCCUUGGCUUUGGGAGCCCGGCUUCCCGCGCCCUGGGCAGGGGCUGCUCUCCAGCGAAUCCACCUUUGCUGCGGUGCGGAUAACGCACCUUCCCCUGCCUCCCCUCAGGGGAACGUGAGGUCUUACCUUGUGCUCUCCAGCUGCGCGGCCGCCAUUUUUAGCCCCUCAGGAGGCUGCGGGAGGAUCGGUCUCUGUCCUGUUUCCUUGGCACGUUGGCUCCUGUAAGGUGGGAUUCGUAGGCUUUGGUUCUUGUACCCAUUCCACUCCUUCUGUGUUGAAGGUGAUGGCUGGUGCCAUUGAGUCUGAAAGCUUUGAGGAGGAACGGCUGCAAAAUGAGAGAGAAACCAUGACCUGGAAGCCCAGAAAAGAACGUUUGCUGAAGAAUAUUCCGGGUGUUCUUGAUGGUGAGUCUGAAGAAAGUGAAUUCUCUGAUACCUCUCACAAUGAAAGUGAUACCGGUGGCUCUCCUGUUUGCACUGGUCAUGCACAUUCUGACCUGGAAGACUUGGAUGGAGAAUUGUCCAAUAUGUCUGUGGCUGUAACUUACCCAGAGCUGCAAACUGCUGCUGCGCACGAGGUGGAAGACUGGGAUAAAGAAUUGGAGGAUUAUGAUCCUUACGGGAAGCCCGAGCAUUGCAUACGCAAGCCCAUCCCAUGAGCUUUAAGGAUUUGGGCAGAGAUGGUGGAUGGGAAUCCAGCCCAGGCCUUCACAAGCUGCCGUCCCUGCAGGAGCCAGUCCUGUGCUGCUGCAGAGGAUUCAUGGGCUAUUUGGAGGACAUCCUACAUGUGAGUGUCUCUGUGCUUGCAAAUCCUGGGUCUGGACUGUGAUAUUCAGGGAUCCAGUCCAAAGAGUUCCUGAUGCAGUCCAGCUCUCCUCCUCUGCCUCUCCCCAAAGGAAUGCAGGUCUUGACCACACACACUCUCAGCACAGGACCUCUGCCUUGAACUUUAUGCCUCAGACUUCAGCUUCAUGAACCCUUCGAUGGCCUCUCUGCAGCUGCACUGGGCCACACACAGUUGCAGUUCUCUGCUGGGAGGUGACAGGCAUGGAGGUGGCACUGGACCUGUGAGCACUUCUCUGCAAAGUCAAACAGGAAAAGAAACACCGUUAAUGGGCACAUCAGUGGUGUUGGCACGAUGCUGGAACAGGGCAGCUGCACUGAUGGUGCCGCUCAGCUUCUCGGUUGGCCUCCUUCCUGCAGCGAAACCCCACUGGCCUGGCAGGCCAUAGGGAUGCUCGAGGACAAGGCAGAGGUAUGGAUUAACUCAGAGGGGAAAGCAGAGGGGAGAGGAAGAUCUCAGUCACAUCAAUCCCGUUCAUCUCCUGCACAGGCCGCAUGAAAGAGGCACAGGAACUCUGAUGGAAUCCCUGCACAAGCAGGGUCCCUAAAGAAACACUGCUGAUUUUGGGAGCCCGUCAGGUCAGGCCUUCAGGGGAAUAAACCAGUGCAACUCCAUUGCAGUCAACACCAACUUACAGCACAACUACUGCGCUUUGCAAUGGCCUCAUUAGAUACAUUUUUAAGCACUUAAACCUGUGCUUGCCGCCUGCGAACAACUGACCAUCAUCCAGCAUUAAUGUAACACUGCUAGCAAGCUAGUUACGAAAUAUUGCCACUUGGAAAACACACUUCGAAGUUAGAAAAGGAUUGAAAGCCGCAGAAUUCCACGUGUUUCUCAAUGUAUUGCUCUAAAAUAAUAGAUGUGCUUAUGGCUGUUCAUCCAAAACCAUCACCAGUCCCCAAAAUGGGAGUUCAGGACAAAUCCUGAGCUGGUGCAGAUAGGGAUAUCUCCACUGGCUUACAGGAGCUGUUUUAUUUAGCAACAGGCACACCUGCUGUUUCUUUGGAGAGCUGUAAAUUCACUCCCUGAUGCAGACAAUCUACAAGCCCAGUUUAUACUCUAAGAUUAAAUUCAUAUCAGAUGUUUUGAAAUUAAAGUGCAGUUUGUGUUCUUUGUGAAGGCAAGAAUCUCUUAAAAGUAUAGAGACAUCCAAAACUUUAUAUAACCAGUAUUACAUAACACCUUAAACUGGCUCAUAAGCGUUUUCCUUACUCUGGAUUUAUUACGUUUUUAUUUGGGGCAUGUGAAACAACUCUACACAAGUGCAGUUACUCACAUGGGGCUGGGCUGGGAGCAGAGGAAGAGUUCACUUCAGUGGAAAUUGUAAAGUGAGGAGCUUGUUACUGUGUUUGCAAAGAUGUCUGCAAAGAAACACCAUGAGGAAGAUGUUGUUUCAUUGUGUCUCACUGCCCUUAAUGGCCAUCGAUACAGACAUCAAAUAAAGCCCUGGCAGGAAGGUAGAGACAGUGUUAGUUUAAAGGCUGAAUGCCUGCAGAACCUCCGACUGCACACGGCAUUAAUGUCAUAAAUGUGUGUGAAUGUUCUCAUUCAGGCUGUAAUUUAUUCCCCAGGGAGAUGCAAAGCUAGCUCAAAUAUGCUACAAGCAAACCAAACUCUUCCAGUGAAGUGAGUGCAGUAUGUGAAUCCCAGAGCUAAAUUUAGGCUGGGGCUUGGAGUAAUUCUAAUCUCAGUGUAGCACUUUGAGUCGCAGCUAACAAAUACUGUGAAAUGACUCAGUGAAGUUCUGCUCCUUUGCUACAGUCUGGUUUGGAUGAGGUUGUGAAAGCUCUUUAUUAACUCAGAUUUAAGGAAUUCAGCUUAUGUUACUCAGCUGAAUUUUGUUGUUCAUGCAGUCGUUUAAAACAAUAUCAUUUGGUUUUAAAAUGUAAAUUAAGCUGGUUUUGGGGUGUGUGUGAUAGUUCACGUGAAACACACACUCUUAAUGUACUGAAAGCUCGUUAUAAAACACCAUUAACUGUGCUGCUGAAUAAUGCACAGCACUGGAAAAGAAAGGAUGCUGAAAUAUCUACAUUUUUUUCACAAAUUACAUUAUCUGGGUUUAUGGUCCAAGGUAAAUUAAAAUGGGCCAAAGCUC